UCUGAUUGUCCACCAGAGGUUACAAUGUCCUCUUUAUUAGUAGUUUCGGUGGGCUCUCCCAGGGGGUGUAAUGCUCUGAUUGUCCACCAGAGGUUACAAUGUCCUCUUUAUUAGUAGUUUCGGUGGGCUCUCCCGGGGGUGUAAUGCUCUGAUUGUCCACCAGAGGUUACAAUGUCCUCUUUAUUAGUAGUUUCGGUGGGCUCUCCCGGGGGUGUAAUGCUCUGAUUGUCCACCAGAGGUUACAAUGUCCUCUUUAUUAGUAGUUUCGGUGGGCUCUCCCAGGGGGUGUAAUGCUCUGAUUGUCCACCAGAGGUUACAAUGUCCUCUUUAUUAGUAGUUUCGGUGGGCUCUCCCGGGGGUGUAAUGCUCUGAUUGUCCACCAGAGGUUACAAUGUCCUCUUUAUUAGUAGUUUCGGUGGGCUCUCCCGGGGGUGUAAUGCUCUGAUUGUCCACCAGAGGUUACAAUGUCCUCUUUAUUAGUAGUUUCGGUGGGCUCUCCCAGGGGGUGUAAUGCUCUGAUUGUCCACCAGAGGUUACAAUGUCCUCUUUAUUAGUAGUUUCGGUGGGCUCUCCCGGGGGUGUAAUGCUCUGAUUGUCCACCAGAGGUUACAAUGUCCUCUUUAUUAGUAGUUUCGGUGGGCUCUCCCAGGGGGUGUAAUGCUCUGAUUGUCCACCAGAGGUUACAAUGUCCUCUUUAUUAGUAGUUUCGGUGGGCUCUCCCGGGGGUGUAAUGCUCUGAUUGUCCACCAGA